UACGGAGGGUGCAAGCGUUAAUCGGAAUUACUGGGCGUAAAGCGCACGCAGGCGGUCUGUCAAGUCGGAUGUGAAAUCCCCGGGCUCAACCUGGGAACUGCAUCCGAAACUGGCAGGCUAGAGUCUUGUAGAGGGGGGUAGAAUUCCAGGUGUAGCGGUGAAAUGCGUAGAGAUCUGGAGGAAUACCGGUGGCGAAGGCGGCCCCCUGGACAAAGACUGACGCUCAGGUGCGAAAGCGUGGGGAGCAAACAGGAUUAGAUACCCUGGUAGUCCACGCCGUAACCGUUGUCGCCUUGUAGGUUGUGCCCUUGAGGCGUGGCUUCCGGAGCUAACGCGUUAAGUCGCCCGCCUGGGGAGUACGGCCGCAAGGUUAAA
rnacentral:rRNA from 1 species